rnacentral:rRNA from 1 species
GUCGCAAAAUUAAAACUCAAAGGAAUGACGGGGACCCGCACAAGUGGUGGAGCAUGUGUUUAAUUCCGAAAAUACGCGAAGAACCUUACCUAGCCUUGACAUUGAUUGAACCACUUAGAGAUAGAGUGUUGCCUUUCGGGGAACAUGAAAACAGGUGCUGCACGGCUGUCGUCAGCUCGUGUCGUGAGAUGUUGGGUUAAGUCCCGCAACGAGCGCAACCCUCGUCCUUAGUUGCCAGCAGGUUAAGCUGGGCACUCUAAGGCUACUGCCUUCGUAAGGAGGAGGAAGGUGAGGACGACGUCAAGUCAUCAUGGCCCUUAUGGCUAGGGCUACACACGUGCUACAAUGGGGCGUACAGAGUGUUGCGAUACCGCGAGGUGGAGCUAAUCACUUAAAGCGUCUCUCAGUUCGGAUUGGAGUCUGCAACUCGACUCCAUGAAGCUGGAAUCACUAGUAAUCGUAGAUCAGCAAUGCUACGGUGAAUACGUUCCCGGGUCUUGUACUCACCGCCCGUCUC